rnacentral:snRNA from 1 species
GUCCUCAUUUUGGCAGCACAUAUAAUGAAAUUGGAAAGAUACAGAGAAUAUUAGCAUUCCCCUGCACAAAGAUAACAUGUAAAUUUUUGAAGCAUUCCAUGUUUUU